GCGGUCAUAGCUCAGUUGGUUAGAACACAGGAUUGUGAAUCCUGGGGUGCGGGUUCGAGUCCCGUUGGCCGCCCCA
rnacentral:tRNA from 1 species